UAAGGGUUUAAUUUUAUUAUUUUGAAUCAAAGUUUGAAUAAAUUUGACCUCUUUCCCUACUAACAUGAUUUGCAGAUCGGGAAACGGAAGGAAAUACGAACGAAAGCAGGUAAAGAAACGAAGUUGGUCCGGUGAUUGGCAAAUCUGUCGUCAGGAGGGAGGAGCAUCUCCGGUGCUUGACUGAAUCGACGAUGGUGAACGGAAGCAGCGGUGUUGCCGUUAGUGUCAGUGGUGGCUGAUUCACCGUGAAACGGAAGGAGGAAGGGGGAACCGAACUUCGGCGACCCUUGUGGUUUAAUCUUCAUGUGGUCAGAAGGAGAGGCAUGGACGAAAGCAGUAGCAGUCGCCGAUCCCUUGGAGUGCACCACCUGAUUGUCUUGUUCGGACAAAGAAGAAGGAAAAACGAAAGCAGGUGGGUGGCUCGGUGGUGGUUGUGGGAUCGUGAGGAGGGGAGAGGGGAGAGGGGCAGCCGAAUUCCGGCGAGCUCCUCUUGGAUUCAUCUAUUGUCUUCAGCAGUGGAACACGAAGAAGGGAGCAGGGGAUAGACGAAGGUGGUGACAAGGGGCUCCGGUGGUUUUGCUCGAUAAUCACAGAAGAAGAAUUCGGUGGGUGCUUGGGUUUGAUUGUUGACAGAGAAUGGAAGCAAUGAGAAACAGGUGAAGUAGAAGAGGCAGUUGCCUCUUGUUCACUCACUCGAAAACAACCUCUCCUUGGGGUUGUUCUUCUUCUUGAUGGCGACAACAAAAUUGAAUGAAAAGAAGGGCGUUUGGGUUUGAGUUUUUUUGACUGGAGGAGGGGCUGCUGCUCCAUAGCUCACCGGGAAACCACAAGAAAACCACCUCCAAUGGAGGUGUUCUUGGCUGUGCAUCGAAACAGAAAGAAGGGAGAGGAGUGAGUUUGUGAAUGAUUGUGUGACUUUCCCAUGUGAUCAAAAGCAGAUAUUUAGAAGUUCUUGAGACAUUGGAAGUACUUGGAAAUCUCUAAAGGAUUGUGGAGGUACAACACUAAAUUGCCCAUGUGUGAGAGGGUGUGUGUUUAUUGUCAUUGAUAUAGUCACGUGUAAUGAUCUAGUUCAGAUUUCCAGUUGAUUUUGAUGAUAAAUUUGUGUACAACAAGUUUUGGGAAUGAUCUGGUGUAGAUUGCAUUGCAUAUUAUUGGCUUUUAUUUGUACAUGUAGGUGUUUUGGUGAUUGGGAAAACUGGUAACAUAUAUGUAUCUAGUUAUGUAUUUGGCUGAAUUUCUAUUAGUCUUCA